GACAGAGGGGGCAAGCGUUGCUCGGAAUCACUGGGCGUAAAGGGCGCGUAGGCGGGAUGGCAAGUCAGUCGUGAGAUCUCUCGGCUCAACCGAGAAACGUCGGCUGAUACUGCCGUUCUUGAGGGAUGCAGAGGAGACUGGAAUUCCCGGUGUAGCGGUGAGAUGUGUAGAGAUCGGGAGGAACACCGGUGGCGAAGGCGGGUCUCUGGGCAUCUCCUGACGCUGAGGCGCGAAAGCGUGGGGAGCAAACGGG
rnacentral:rRNA from 1 species